AACAAACGCUGGCGGCGUGCCUAAUACAUGCAAGUCGAACGGGUAGCAAUACCAGUGGCACACGGGUGAGGAAUACAUAGAUAAUCUGCCUUCGAGUCGGGGAUAACUAGUCGAAAGAUUGGCUAAUACCGGAUAAGACCACAGGAGCUGAGGCUCUAGGGGUUAAAGGUUUUUCGCUUGAAGAUGAGUCUAUGCGAGAUUAGCUAGUUGGUGAGGUAAUGGCUCACCAAGGCGACGAUCUCUAACUGGUCUUAGAGGAUGAUCAGUCACACUGGAACUGAGACACGGUCCAGACUCCUACGGGAGGCAGCAGUAGGGAAUAUUGCGCAAUGGGGGAAACCCUGACGCAGCGACGCCGCGUGAGUGAUGAAGGCCUUCGGGUCGUAAAGCUCUGUCGUAUGGGAAUAACACAAUGAAUGUACCAUGCAAGAAAGGAUCGGCUAACUUCGUGCCAGCAGCCGCGGUAAAAC
rnacentral:rRNA from 1 species